CGGGGUGUAGCGCAGCCUGGUAGCGCGUUCGUCUGGGGGACGAGAGGUCGCUGGUUCGAACCCAGCCAUCCCGA
rnacentral:tRNA from 1 species